rnacentral:rRNA from 1 species
UACGGAGGGGGCUAGCGUUGUUCGGAAUUACUGGGCGUAAAGCGCACGUAGGCGGACUGUUAAGUCGGGGGUGAAAUCCUGGGGCUCAACCUCAGAAUUGCCUCCGAUACUGGCAGUCUCGAGUGCGGGAGAGGUGAGUGGAAUUCCCAGUGUAGAGGUGAAAUUCGUAGAUAUUGGGAAGAACACCAGUGGCGAAGGCGGCUCACUGGCCCGUAACUGACGCUGAGGCGCGAAGGCCAGGGGAGCAAACGGG